CAAUGGAGUCUAAAUAUAAUAAAAACACCAGAACCCAUCUGAUCUCAGAAACUAAGCAGGGUCAGCUCUGGUUAGUAUUUGGAUGGGAGACUACAAGCAAAUGGCAGGUGCUGUAGGCU
rnacentral:rRNA from 1 species